GCCAGUGUGGCAUAACGGUUUGAGCAUCAGACUAUAACUCUGGAGACCAGGUUUGAUUCCCAGUUUGGCC